rnacentral:rRNA from 1 species
CAAGGAAUUUUCGUCAAUGGGCGCAAGCCUGAACGAGCAACGCCGCGUGCAGGAUGACGGCCUUCGGGUUGUAAACUGCUUUUUCGGGGGAUGAUUGUGACAGUACCCCGGGAAUAAGGCUCGGCUAACUCUGUGCCAGCAGCCGCGGUAAGACAGAGGAGCCAAGCGUUGUCCGGAUUGACUGGGCGUAAAGCGCACGCAGGCGGUCUGGCGCGUGGGGUGUGAAAUCUGGCCGCUUAACGGCCAGGCGCCAUCCCAUACGGCCGGACUGGAGCCGUGCAGAGGGCGGUGGAAUUGCCGGUGUAGUGGUGAAAUGCGUAGAGAUCGGCAGGAACACCCAGGGGGAAACCAGCCGCCUGGGCACGCGCUGACGCUGAGGUGCGAGAGCGUGGGGAGGCGAACCGGAUUAGAGUACCCGGGUAGUCCACGCCGUAAACGAUGGCCACUCGGCCUUUGGAGGCGGAACC